CCUCCCUGCCCCCACCCUGCCUGCAGGAAAGCAAGGUGCUCAGGGCUGCUGGGACUGCUUCAGCUUUCUCGCUGCCAGGGGAGCCCAGGCUGGGGGGAGGGGGCCGUGUGCGCAGGGGAGGAGGGGUGGAGAGGCAGCCCUGAGGAGGGGUGCUGUCCUUUUGCCUUAGGAAGGCAGAGUUAAGGCUUGUACCUCCACCCUUGAAUGUUGGUCUCCCUAGAGUCUGUGACCUGGCAUUCUGGAGCCUUCCAUCGUUCAUUCACUUCCAGCGUGGCUAGUCUAGAGUCCUCAUCUUGGUCGCCCUGGACGAGUGUCCCAACUGCCCACGCUUGCACACGGGCGAAGCCCCUAGAGGGCAAUGGCCACCUUUCCGUAUCCUACCCUCUGGCCCCAUCUCCGCCCGGCCAGCGCCGGGACCUCUGGCUCUCGCCACCCACAGCUGCAGGCGAGGCGGGCGCGCCGGUCGGGAGCCUCCUCUACGCGCUGCUCUUGCAGACACUCUGGGCCCGCUCGCGCUCCCGGUCCUCCGGGCCUUCUCCCGCGUCGCGCACGAAGCCCCGGGCCAGCCCCGCCGCGCGCCCUGGGCUUCGGGCCCGGGCCGCGCCCCCCUUCCGCGGCCCUCUCGCCAGGCUCCAGCUGCGCGCGGAGCAGUCCCCGGCUCGGCUCCAGCUCCUCAAUGGCCCUGCUCCCCCAUUACCCUGAUGUCGGCCCCUCUCCCCCUCGGCUUUAUCGGCUCUCAGCCGGCUCCGCCAGGCAUCCCAGGAUGGGAGAGAUCCGCGCAGAAGCGACCCCCAGAGACAUGAUGAAGACACUCAGCGGGCUGGGCCACAACUCCGAAGACCCAGAAACUCAGGAUCCCAGAAACCCAGCCAGAAAGCCCGGAGCCGAUAGAAAGUGGAAGCAGCAGAGCCGGAAAGAGAGGGGGUGGGUGUCUCUGAUGCCCACUCAGCGUGCAGAACCACCUGCAAGGUAUGUAUGUGUGUGAAUGCACAUAUCUUGUGUUUUGCGUGCUCAUUUAUUUAGCAUCAUGUAUGUGAGAGCGUGCAUGUCAGUGUCUUUACUGUCAUGGGUAUCUGUGCAUUCAUGAGUGCAUGUGACAAGCAUUUGUGUCAUGUGUACAAUUAUACUCCCCAGUGUUUAUCUUUGUGCUUGCCUUUUGUAAGCGUGUGUCUGUGUAUAUGCACAUCCUUGUCCAUCAUGUAUGUAAUUCUGUGUGUGUGAUGUAUGUCCGUAUAGGAUUCAGGUUCCAAGUCACGUGCGUGCCUUGUCUGGAUGCCGCCAGGAGUGUGUGUAUCUCUGCAGGCAUGCCUAUGCAUGUGCGUAUCAUCUGUGUAAUUAUUCGAUGCGAGUGGGAGCAUGUGUGUGUGUUCCUGCUCCAUGGGGGAUGACAGGCAGUUGGGAAGACGCUGAGCCCGUUUUAUCUGAGGUUAACAGGGGUCACACUUCACUCCUGGAAGUCCCUCACCCUCCUCCCCACCCUACACAAUUAAGCCUCAGUGUGGUGGAAAGACAGCCAGCACACAUUAAGAAAGGUCAACAAUAUUAUCAGCUCCUAAUCCAAUUAGUUACUGUUUAUUUGGGAAUCCGGCUCUAGGUCAGCUUCCAGGGAGAAGGCCUGGGAGAGAGAAGCUGCAAGAAACCACAGAAGGUGGCCAGGGCUGCGAGGGAGGGGAGAGGGCCAUCCUCAAGGCAGGGGCUGGGCAUGCCGCCUCCUCCGGGAAGGUGGGCGCUCUGGGAAGGGGUCCGUGUUGCAGAGCAGGGGUUGAAGUCUGAGGUUGCAUCUCCAGCUUGGGGUGCUGCCUCUCUCAUCCUGAGACAUCCUGCCUGUGUCCAGCCCCAGCAUCCUUACGGGGUGUCUGGGAGCGGGAUGGCUGCGUUGGGCUGCAGCUGGCUUCCCCUGGGAUAGCAGAGGCAGAGGAGGACUUGUUGAUCAACGGGCUGUUAGCUUUGGAAGCCACUCAUUACUCCCACCCUCUAUUUUAUCA
rnacentral:lncRNA from 1 species